rnacentral:rRNA from 1 species
AUUGAACGCUGGCGGCAGGCCUAACACAUGCAAGUCGAACGGUAACAGGAAGAAGCUUGCUUCUUUGCUGACGAGUGGCGGACGGGUGAGUAAUGUCUGGGAAACUGCCUGAUGGAGGGGGAUAACUACUGGAAACGGUAGCUAAUACCGCAUAAUGUCGCAAGACCAAAGAGGGGGACCUUCGGGCCUCUUGCCAUCGGAUGUGCCCAGAUGGGAUUAGCUAGUAGGUGGGGUAACGGCUCACCUAGGCGACGAUCCCUAGCUGGUCUGAGAGGAUGACCAGCCACACUGGAACUGAGAUACGGUCCAGACUCCUACGGGAGGCAGCAGUGGGGAAUAUUGCACAAUGGGCGCAAGCCUGAUGCAGCUAUGCCGCGUGUAUGAAGAAGGCCUUCGGGUUGUAAAGUACUUUCAGCGGGGAGGAAGGGAGUAAAGUUAAUACCUUUGCUCAUUGACGUUACCCGCAGAAGAAGCACCGGCUAACUCCGUG